rnacentral:rRNA from 1 species
AUUGAACGCUGGCGGCAUGCCUUACACAUGCAAGUCGAACGGCAGCGGACCUUCGGGUGCCGGCGAGUGGCGAACGGGUGAGUAAAGUAUCGGAACGUACCUUUCAGUGGGGGAUAACGUAGCGAAAGUUACGCUAAUACCGCAUAUUCUGUGAGCAGGAAAGCAGGGGAUCGCAAGACCCUGCGCUGAUUGAGCGGCCGAUAUCAGAUUAGCUAGUUGGUGAGGUAAAGGCUCACCAAGGCGACGAUCUGUAGCGGGUCUGAGAGGAUGAUCCGCCACACCGGAACUGAGACACGGUCCAGACUCCUACGGGAGGCAGCAGUGGGGAAUUUUGGACAAUGGGGGCAACCCUGAUCCAGCCAUGCCGCGUGAGUGAAGAAGGCCUUCGGGUUGUAAAGCUCUUUCGUCCGGGAAGAAAUCGCAUCAGCUAAUACCUGGUGUGGAUGACGGUACCGGAAUAAGAAGCACCGGCUAACUACGUGCCAGCCGCCGCGGUAA